rnacentral:rRNA from 1 species
AGUGAACGCUGGCGGUAGGCCUAACACAUGCAAGUCGAACGGCAGCACAGUAAGAGCUUGCUCUUACGGGUGGCGAGUGGCGGACGGGUGAGGAAUACAUCGGAAUCUACUUUUUCGUGGGGGAUAACGUAGGGAAACUUACGCUAAUACCGCAUACGACCUACGGGUGAAAGCAGGGGAUCUUCGGACCUUGCGCGAUUGAAUGAGCCGAUGUCGGAUUAGCUAGUUGGCGGGGUAAAGGCCCACCAAGGCGACGAUCCGUAGCUGGUCUGAGAGGAUGAUCAGCCACGCUGGAACUGAGACACGGUCCAGACUCCUACGGGAGGCAGCAGUGGGGAAUAUUGGACAAUGGGCGCAAGCCUGAUCCAGCCAUACCGCGUGGGUGAAGAAGGCCUUCGGGUUGUAAAGCCCUUUUGUUGGGAAAGAAAAGCAGCAGGUUAAUACCCCGCUGUUCUGACGGUACCCAAAGAAUAAGCACCGGCUAACUUCGU